GAUGAACGCUAGCGGCAGGCCUAAUACAUGCAAGUCGAACGGUGUCUUCGGACAUAGUGGCGCACGGGUGCGUAACACGUAUGCAACCUACCUUACAUUGGGGGAUAGCCUUUCGAAAGGGAGAUUAAUACCGCAUAAGACAGUAGCUGGGCAUCCAGCAGCUGUUAAAGAUUUAUCGAUGUAAGCUGGGCAUGCGUCCAAUUAGCUAGUUGGUGAGGUAACGGCUCACCAAGGCUAUGAUUGGUAGGGGAACUGAGAGGUCCAUCCCCCACACUGGCACUGCGAGCCGGGCCAGACUCCUACGGGAGGCAGCAGUAAGGAAUAUUGGGCAAUGGACGCAAGUCUGACCCAGCCAUGCCGCGCGCAGGAUGAAGGCGUUAUGCGUUGUAAACUGCUUUUAUACAGGAAGAAACGACUCUUGCGAGAGGCAUUGACGGUACUGUAUGAAUAAGCACCGGCUAACUCCGUGCCAGCCGCCGCAGUAACAC
rnacentral:rRNA from 1 species